ACGGGGCCAGCAGGCGCGAAAACUCCGCAAUACACGAAAGUGUGACGGGGGAACCCCGAGUGCACUCACGCAAGUGAGUGCUUUUGUGAAGUGUAGAUAGCUUCAUGAAUAAGAGCUGGGUAAGACCGGUGCCAGCCGCCGCGGUAACACCGGCAGCUCGAGUGGUGAUCACUAUUAUUGGGCCUAAAGCGUCCGUAGCCGGUUUGGUAAGUCCUUGGGCAAAUCCUGUCGCUUAACGGCAGGAAUUCUGAGGAUACUGUCAGACUUGAGGCCGAGAGAGGUCGGAGGUACUUCUGGGGUAGCGGUGAAAUGCUAUAAUCCUAGAGGGACCACCGGUGGCGAAGGCGUCCGACUAGAGCGGGCCUGACGGUAAGGGACGAAAGCCAGGGGAGCGAACGGGAUUAGAUACCCCGGUAGUCCUGGCCGUAAACGCUGUGGGCUAGGUGUUGCAUGCUCUACGAGGGCGUGCAGUGCCGAAGAGAAGUUGAUAAGCCUACCGCCUGGGAAGUACUAUCGCAAGAUAGAAACUUAAAGGAAUUGGCGGGGGAGCACCACAAGGGGUGAAGUCUGCGGUUCAAUUGGAUUCAACGCCGGANAUCUCACUGGAAGCGACGGCAGAAUGACAGCCAAGCUGAUGACUUUGCUUGACGA
rnacentral:rRNA from 1 species